UACGGAGGGUGCGAGCGUUGUCCGGAAUCACUGGGCGUAAAGGGCGCGUAGGCGGCGCGAGUAGUCAACGGUGAAAGCCCGGGGCUCAACCCCGGGUCGGCCGUCGAUACUCUCGUGCUUGAGCACUGUAGAGGCAGGUGGAAUUCCGGGUGUAGCGGUGGAAUGCGUAGAGAUCCGGAAGAACACCGGUGGCGAAGGCAGCUCGCUGGGACGUGACUGACGCUGAGGCGCGAAAGCGUGGGGAGCAAACAGG
rnacentral:rRNA from 1 species